UACGGAGGGUGCGAGCGUUGUCCGGAAUUACUGGGCGUAAAGGGCGCGUAGGCGGGAUGGCAAGUCGGUCGUGAAAUCCCUCGGCUCAACCGAGGAACGUCGAUCGAUACUGCUGUUCUUGAGGAUUGCAGAGGAGACUGGAAUUCCCGGUGUAGCGGUGAAAUGUGUAGAGAUCGGGAGGAACACCGGUGGCAAAGGCGGGUCUCUGGGCAAUUCCUGACGCUGAGGCGCGAAAGCGUGGGGAGCAAACGGG
rnacentral:rRNA from 1 species